UACCGUUUGAAGGAAUAAGCUCCAUAAGAUUCGGAAUUUCGUCUUUUAUUACUCUGUGAUAUUAAGAUGAACCUCGAGGUACCUUCUGUGCUCCCACACAUGCUUCUAAUCUUUUGUCGCGUGUGUGGUGCAUGGUUUGGCUACUCGUGCUCUAGGGUGUGGAACAUUGUGUUGCUAAGCGAUCUUCUGAUUGCUUUGGCCAAAAAAAUAGUCCAUUGUUGGAACGAUUAUCAUGAU
rnacentral:misc_RNA from 1 species